AGAUACAACAGCACGUAUUUGAAAAAUGAAUCAAAAGCACAAAAGGUCCUCUCGAACCAAAUCAAUGGACAAAUGAACUCAUACAUGUGAGCAUCUUCAAGUGGCCAUGAAUGCACUGGCUAGAUGUUUGAGUUCCUCUUUGUGUAAAAACACAAUUACUAUAUAAUUGGUCCAUUUGCGGUGUUGACAUUCCUGCACACAGAUAUUCACAGACAGGGCGACAGGACCUUUGUAGGUUAUGUGCAUGUUAUAGUUACAUUUGAAAGCCUGUAAAUACAAUCCUUUGGGAGAUCCAUGUUAUUAAUAACAAUUAUUGGUCUUCUUUAGUUUCCUCAGACACCUUAAGCGUUGCAUAUUGACCGCUAUGCUGGAAAGAAUGUUGUCCAUUGAUUUGACCAAGACAAGAACUGAUGAUGUCCUCUUGGUGUAAAGCAGGAGUGAAACCUUCCAUAUUGCCAGUGAGUGAAAAUCUUACCAAGGAAAAUCUAUUCGAGCUCACGCUGCAUCCUCAAUGAUGCUCUCUGACAAAUCAAAGGAAAGAUGGACACAAUCGGUUUGGAAUGACUGAGCGGUGCAGGACUACGGUAGAAGAUUCAGUUUCGGUGGGUGAAGGUUUUUUUGUUUUUUUUUUUUAAAGAGGGUGUUUUAAUACUUUUAUAGUAAUGAAAUUACCUUUAAACAGACUAACUUUUUUAAAGAGCGUUAUUUAUUUUUUAAUUUUGGUGAAGCCAACUUAAAUAUUACCAUUGAAACAAAAAUAUUUGCUAACAGAAGCAAAUGGUGAGAAAUUUAAGUGUUGCGGCAUCGAGUGAUGUUUUUACUGGUCCAUUGUCUUAUCCCUAACCAGCACUUUGUGUAUACUGUACUACCAUGCUUGGUCUAGAUCCCUGUGGACUGCAUGGCUACUAACAGCUCAUCCACUAUUGCUUAGGGGUUAUAUUUUAUUCUAGAAGAAAGACUUUAUACUGUCAAACUCAGACAUCCCAUGUGAUUGAAGGCCGAUGGGCAUGGAACUCUCAGAGCUGCCCUCAAAGCUGCAACAAUGCCUGCUUGUGGUGGGUGGAGUGGAAGAACAAAGGCAGACUUGUUACGGUUUAGAUGCCUUUAUUAUUCUUUUAUUUGGAUGCAAUUUCUUGUCUAUCUGGGUACACUCAUUAAGAUUUUGGAGUUUGGCUUGUGGGUCUAUUGCUCUAGGAGAAGAUGCUUUUUGUGACUCCAAACAAAAGUGCUACACUUUUAUAGAAAACAGUGUAAAGAAACUUAACCAUGAAAUAUAGAUUAUUAUUACUUUAAGCCAAUAAUUUGUUCAACUUAACAACACGAAAAAUGUCAUUCAG
ensembl:lncRNA